CGUGUAGGCGGCCUGUUAAGUCCGAUGUGAAAUCCCCUUGCUCAACGAGGGAACUGCGUCGGAAACUGGCAGGCUCGAGUACCGGAGAGGAAGGUGGAAUUCCCGGGGUAGCGGUGAAAUGCGUAGAUAUCGGGAGGAACACCGGUGGCGAAGGCGGCCUUCUGGACGGAUACUGACGCUGAUACGCGAAAGCGUGGGGAGCAAACA
rnacentral:rRNA from 1 species